UGAACUCCCAAUACCCACAAAAUUAAAUAUCUCUGAGUCCUCUUUUAAACGCAACAAACCAUUCGUCAAUACGAGUUUGAAGUAAGAAGUUAUAACUGUUUUACCAAACAUUGUUCGGAUUGAAUAAAAAAUUCUAUUGUAGCAAGAAUUCUGAUGGUAUUUAAAUCAAUUUCAGGAAACUUUCAGGUCCAUAUUCUCAAAACUUUAUUUCCCAACUCUAGAGAAGUGAUUUUCCAAGAUUCAAGGUAAACCAAAAUCUCAAAACUUCAUUCUCCAACCCUACAAAGGUGAUUUCUCAAGGUUCAAGGUUAAAGUUCUUCGUUGAGAUGAUUAAUUAUUCCAAGACAUGAAGAAAAGGAAAGAGUAUCCUUAUUGCAACUUGCUUCUUUCAAAAGCUUGACAUCCAGUUAGAGUAGAUUUAAUAAGUAGAAGAUUGUGUUACUUCAUAUUUUCAUGACGCAGAAUUGAUGGAAGAAAGCAGGUUCAUGCCUGCGGACAUGAAGUUAAGGUUAGUUUGCAGUUAUUAGAUGGAUGACGAAAUUCAACACUAACUUCUGACUUUCUUCCUGCUAGAUGUUAGAGUCUUUGUUUUAUUUAUUUUUUCAUCAUUUUAUUUUAUAACAGGUAGCUCUUGUACAUGUCCGACCAAGUCUUGGAGUAGUGAAGGACAGUUGUAAGAAGUUUUUGAAAAAGUUUAUUUAUUGAUAUUUAAUUUACUUUGUUAUAUUUAAUGCGUAUUUUCUUAAAAAUAAAAAUGGCUCGCAUGUUUUUAAUUGGGUAAUAAGAGUUCUCACUACAAGAAAAGUGCUUAUUACCUGGGGAUUUUCAUAGGGAUAGUGUGGUAAAAUUCCCAAGUAAUUUAAUUACUUGCGGAUUUUCUUACCAAUUAGAAUCCAAAGAAAAUACCUUCCUAGGUAAUUAUUACCUGAGGAUUUAUAAAAUUACUAAGUAAUUUAACUGCAAAAAUAAAUCCGCAGGUACAUUAUUUGCAGAUUUAUUUGCAAUUAACUAUCAAAAUUUUGCAUGAAUUAUUUGGUAAAAUUUCAUUAAAAAAAAAGAUUUUACCUGCAGAUUUUCAUGAAAAAAUUCACAAAUUAUUCUCCACGAAGAUUCCCAAGUAAAUCCCUAGGUAAUUUAGCUGUAAAAUAAAUCCGCAGGUAUGUCAUUUGCAGAUUUAUUUGCAAUUAACUAUCAAAAUUUUGCGUGAAUGAUUUGGUAAAAUUUCAUAAAAAAGGAUUUUACUUAUAGAUUUUCACGAAAAUUCACAAAUUAUUCUCCAC